AGGACUAACGCUGGCGGCGUGCUUAACACAUGCAAGUCGAGCGGAAAGGCCCUUCGGGGUACUCGAGCGGCGAACGGGUGAGUAACACGUGAGCAACCUGCCCUUAGCUUCGGGAUAGCUCCGGGAAACCGGAAUUAAUACCGAAUAUGACUUUGGCUGACAUCAGCAGAAGUGGAAAGUUUUUCGGCUAGGGAUGGACUCGCGGCCUAUCAGCUAGUUGGUGAGGUAACGGCCCACCAAGGCGACGACGGGUAGCCGGCCUGAGAGGGCGACCGGCCACACUGGGACUGAGACACGGCCCAGACUCCUACGGGAGGCAGCAGUGGGGAAUAUUGCGCAAUGGGCGAAAGCCUGACGCAGCGACGCCGCGUGGGGAUGAAUGCCUUCGGGUUGUAAACCCCUUUCAGCAGGGACGAAGCGAAAGUGACGGUACCUGCAGAAGAAGCGCCGGCUAACUACGCGCCAGCAGCCGC
rnacentral:rRNA from 1 species